rnacentral:rRNA from 1 species
GACGAACGCUGGCGGCGUGCCUAAUACAUGCAAGUAGAACGCUGAAGAGAGGAGCUUGCUCUUCUUGGAUGAGUUGCGAACGGGUGAGUAACGCGUAGGUAACCUGCCUUGUAGCGGGGGAUAACUAUUGGAAACGAUAGCUAAUACCGCAUAACAAUGGCUGACACAUGUCAUUUAUUUGAAAGGGGCAAUUGCUCCACUACAAGAUGGACCUGCGUUGUAUUAGCUAGUAGGUGAGGUAAUGGCUCACCUAGGCGACGAUACAUAGCCGACCUGAGCGGGUGAUCGGCCACACUGGGACUGAGACACGGCCCAGACGCCUACGGGAGGGAGCAGUAGGGAAUCUUCGGCAAUGGGGGCAACCCUGACCGAGCAACGCCGCGUGAGUGAAGAAGGUUUUCGGAUCGGAAAGCUCUGUUGUAAGUCAAGAACGGGUGUGAGAGUGGAAAGUUCACACUGUGACGGUAGCUUACCAGAAAGGGACGGCUAACUACGUG